ACAUGUCUACAACAUAGCAUUAAUUCACCCAAUCCCAUUAUAACUCUGAAGUUAAGCGCACUCAGGCUAGAGUAGUAUUGGGAUGGGUGACCGCUUGAGAAGUGAUAGUAUUUUACAUGCC
rnacentral:rRNA from 1 species